rnacentral:rRNA from 1 species
GACGAACGCUGGCGGCGCGCUUAACACAUGCAAGUCGAGCGAAGCGGCGGACGGGUGAGUAACACGUGAGUAACCUGCCUUAGAACUUGGGAUAGCCUCGGGAAACCGGGAUUAAUACCAAAUGGUCUAAGAUGGACUCGCGUCCCAUUAGCUAGUUGGUGGGUAACGGCCCACCAAGGCGACGAUGGGUAGCCGGCCGGAGAGGGUGAACGGCCACAGAGGAACUGGGAAACGGUCCAGAGUCUACGGGAGGCAUGAGUGGGGAAUAUUGCACAAUGGAGGGAGUUCUGAUGCAGGGACGCCGGGUGGGAGAUGAAGGUCUUCGGGUUGUAACCUCCUUUCGACAGGCGAGCGGUACCUGUAUAGGAAGCACCGGCUAACUACGUGCCAGCAGCCGCGGUAAUUC